rnacentral:rRNA from 1 species
CGGUGGACGGGUGAGUAACGCGUGGACAACCUGCCCUAUGCAGGGGGAUAACAUCCGGAAACGGGUGCUAAUACCGCAUAAGCGCACAGUACCGCAUGGUACAGUGUGAAAAGCUGAGGCGGCAUAGGAUGGGUCCGCGUUGGAUUAGGCAGUUGGCGGGGUAACGGCCCACCAAACCGACGAUCCAUAGCCGGCCUGAGAGGGUGGACGGCCACAUUGGGACUGAGACACGGCCCAGACUCCUACGGAAGGCAGCAG